rnacentral:rRNA from 1 species
AAUGGGGGCAACCCUGAUCCAGCCAUCCCGCGUGUGCGAUGAAGGCCUUCGGGUUGUAAAGCACUUUUGGCAGGAAAGAAACGUCGCGGGCUAAUACCCCGUGGAACUGACGGUACCUGCAGAAUAAGCACCGGCUAACUACGUGCCAGCAGCCGCGGUAAUACGUAGGGUGCAAGCGUUAAUCGG